GUUUGGUGAAGACUUCUCCUCUUUCUUUCUUCUUCUCCGUCUCCUUUGUUCUUUUUCUCGCCUCAUUGAAAUUUUUUUGUCGCACACUCCAUUCUUCUCCACCUCCUCCGAUUCCGACUUCACGACAUCACACUCACUUCGAACCGUGAUAGCCCAGAAAGUUGACUGGUUUAGUUGCUUAAUACUUCUCCCUCCGAGUCGUCUCUCUCGCCUCCAUAUGUGCGAUUCUGAAUUUAAUUCAUAUAUCAAAGAGUUCUAUUCAAAGCAUAAUAAAAAGAUUCAUGUGAAAGAAGAGGAAAGGACAACUAUACAUGCCAAGAAGCUGAGCUUAAGAUGCUUAGGAAGAGUUUGAAAUUCAAAUCCACCCGAUGUCUACCUAAACCUCCUUAGGUGAUGAUUCUCCAUGUAAAUUUUUUUGCUGAUUGUUUGUUUCAUCUUUUUAGGGUUGUGGUGGAUUAUUCAAUUCUACUAAGGGCAUCUGGAAAUAUAACAUGAGAAAGGGGAGGAGCUCUCCGCCAUGUACAAAUCGCAAAACUAGGAAAUCUCCUAGCCACCGCACAACCACAAGGAACCAUACUUGCUACUUCAGCACCUUCUCCAUCACCCUAAGAACUUUUUGCCUUCUCUUAUGAACAUGUUAGAUCUUUCGAAUGUUUAAUACUGUGUAAGGCUUUGAUUAACAACAUUAGGGGUUUGAUUAGCAACAUUUUGGUUCAUCAAAUUUAUAUAAUUUCAACAUUUCUUUUUA